rnacentral:rRNA from 1 species
UACGUAGGGGGCAAGCGUUGUUCGGAAUUACUGGGCGUAAAGGGCGCGUAGGCGGCAGGCCAAGUCGGGAGUGAAAGCCCGGGGCUCAACCCCGGAAUGUCUUUCGAAACUGGCCAGCUUGAGUGCGGAAGAGGCAACUGGAAUUCCCAGUGUAGCGGUGAAAUGCGUAGAUAUUGGGAAGAACACCUGAGGCGAAGGCGGGUUGCUGGGCCGACACUGACGCUGAGGCGCGAAAGCGUGGGGAGCAAACAGG